UGAUUGCACUGAUCUUCAUGCAUCACAAUAUACACAACAAGCUGUUUAAUUAUUAUUUUUGAUUCUGGAAAUAAUUUUAAUUUAACUUAAGUUUGUGAAUAAUGUGAAUAAAAUGUGUCAUUCGUGUAUCUCUGCACGACAAAAAAUUUCUAAACUAAUCAAAAUUCAAUGUUGGAUGAUUUAUCAAACAGGCAUAUUAUUAUGUGAUAGUGAAUUUUUGUUAUUUUGCUUUGAUUUUUUAAUUCAUUUAAAAGUAAAUCUAAUACCAUUAAGGUUUUACUAUACAUAUGUAUGUAUGUAUUUAUGAAUAAAUAUACAUAUACAUACGUAUAUAGCAAAUUAAGAUUAACUACUCAUAAAAUUAAAUGUAGGGUCUUCAAAA
rnacentral:lncRNA from 1 species